rnacentral:rRNA from 1 species
AAACCAGCACCUCAAGUGGUCAGGAGGAUUAUUGGGCCUAAAGCAUCCGUAGCCUGUUCUAUAAGUUUCCGGUUAAAUCCACUAGCUCAACUAGUGGGCUGCCGAAAAUACUGUAGAACUAGGGAGUGGGAGAGGUAGACGGUAUUCGGUAGGAAGGGGUAAAAUCCUUUGAUCUAUUGAGGACCACCUGUGGCGAAGGCGGUCUACCAGAACACGUUCGACGGUGAGGGAUGAAAGCUGGGGGAGCAAACAGGAUUAGAAACCCGGGUAGUCC